GGGGCGUAGUCUAGAUUUGAGCCAGGUGGGGACGUAGUCUAGAUUUGAGCCAGGUGGGGACGUAGUCUAGAUUUGAGCCAGGUGGGGACGUAGUCUAGAUUUGAGCCAGGUGGGGACCUAGUCUAGAUUUGAGCCAGGUGGGGACGUAGUCUAGAUUUGAGCCAGGUGGGGACGUAGUCUAGAUUUGAGCCAGGUGGGGACGUAGUCUAGAUUUGAGCCAGGUGGGGACGUAGUCUAGAUUUGAGCCAGGUGGGGACGUAGUCUAGAUUUGAGCCAGGUGGGGACGUAGUCUAGAUUUGAGCCAGGUGGGGACGUAGUCUAGAUUUGAGCCAGGUGGGGACGUAGUCUAGAUUUGAGCCAGGUGGGGACGUAGUCUAGAUUUGAGCCAGGUGGGGACGUAGUCUAGAUUUGAGCCAGGUGGGGACGUAGUCUAGAUUUGAGCCAGGUGGGGACGUAGUCUAGAUUUGAGCCAGGUGGGGACGUAGUCUAGAUUUGAGCCAGGUGGGGACGUAGUCUAGAAUUGAGCCAG